rnacentral:lncRNA from 1 species
CUAUGAUUACAGGACCAUGCAAAACAAACAACCUCUACAGUUUGUGGCUACAGGAAACACUCAGGAUAUACACAGUAUAUCUUCCCCUUCUCAACAGCAGGUUGAACAAUACCCUUGCUCAUAAUACGAAGGGAAAAUGGUCAAGGAAAAUUUAGAAGGAAGAAAAGAGGAGCCAAUGAUAGCAAAUUGGCCAGAUGUAGCUCAUCAUCAGUUGGAGCUGAUUUCAGAAGAGGUGUUAGAGUCUGCUCGUCCAAGAGAGAAUCUGAUCCAGGCAUCAAAGGGAGCCAUGAGAGAUGUGAGCGGUCUCACCAAUGUUCUCAAUUGUUCACUGAGCCUGCUGUUCAGUUCUGACAAAGUGGUGUCAAUGAUGUGGAACAAGAGCUACUUUAGAUAGCUUUUAAAUGACUAUAUUCUAGACUGUCCAUCCAAGCCUACUGUCCUACUGUUGGCCUUCCAGACAACACUGACUUUGUACCUUAAUGGAGACAAAGAAAAAAGAAUGAAUGUUAAACACAGCACAGAGACAGAGUUAUAUUAAGAAACAGGAGAAAUUUAGUAACCAAUUACCUACUGAAUAUUCAUUUGACAAAUCCACUUCAGUAGACUAAGUGGUGAUAAUCUUUGCCAUGGUUCCUUCGAAGAUCUUCAAACUUCCCGUCAUUCAGGGAGAACACAUUCUCAGUUAUUGGGAUGGUAUUCAAUGUUAUGUCUGUUUUCUGAGUAAUACAAUGGAAAGGAAUGUUAGUAAGUGUAAAAAUGGUUAAAUCAUUCAUCGCUAUUACUUAAACUACCUGAGACCUAAAAGUUUUGGCAGCAUUCAAUCCAACAACAGGGUGUCAACAAUCACUUAAGAGUGUGUUGUCUUACAGUAUCUUUAAAAGGUAGUUGAGAACUUGGGACAUUAAUGUAGUAUAUUUAUGCCCAUACCUUCCAUCUUCUCUAGUUAAAAAUCUGUUCAUUUACUGAUAGGUGAAGUCUUUAUAUGUGGAAAUGAACAGAGAACAAAGUAUUCAACAAAUACAUGUUGCUUUUAUUGGGGUGCAAUUCAGCUUGUUCCAGAAGGUCACCAACUUCUGGGCACUGCAUUUCAAAGCCUGAAUGGAAAAUAAGUGGUAAGAGGCUUGUGCUGAUUCUCAGGGCAAUGAUUACAUCACCUUUUUCAUUUUUUUUUCUGUGAACAGGCCAUAGCAUGCUCCGACAUACAUGUAAACUUAAGCUUGCAAUUGUAAAUAUUGACAAAGUACAACUUCCUGCACAGCCUGAAUAAUAAAUUGAGAAUUCUGUGAUCA